rnacentral:rRNA from 1 species
AGUCGAACGGUGAAGCCCAGCUUGCUGGGUGGAUCAGUGGCGAACGGGUGAGUAACACGUGAGCAACCUGCCCCUGACUCUGGGAUAAGCGCUGGAAACGGCGUCUAAUACUGGAUACGAGACGUGAUCGCAUGGUCAACGUUUGGAAAGAUUUUUCGGUUGGGGAUGGGCUCGCGGCCUAUCAGCUUGUUGGUGAGGUAAUGGCUCACCAAGGCGUCGACGGGUAGCCGGCCUGAGAGGGUGACCGGCCACACUGGGACUGAGACACGGCCCAGACUCCUACGGGAGGCAGCAGUGGGGAAUAUUGCACAAUGGGCGCAAGCCUGAUGCAGCAACGCCGCGUGAGGGAUGACGGCCUUCGGGUUGUAAACYUCUUUUAGCAGGGAAGAAGCGAGAGUGACGGUACCUGCAGAAAAAGCACCGGCUAACUACGUGCCAGCAGCCGCGGUAAUACGUAGGGUGCAAGCGUUAUCCGGAAUUAUUGGGCGUAAAGAGYUCGUAGGCGGUUUGUCGCGUCUGCUGUGAAWUCUGGGGGYUCAMCCCCCAGCCUGCAGUGGGUACGGGCAGACUAGAGUGCGGUAGGGGAGAUUGGAAUUCCUKGUGUAGCGGUGGAAUGCGCAGAUAUCAGGAGGAACACCGAUGGCGAAGGCAGAUCUCUGGGCCGUAACUGACGCUGAGGAGCGAAAGGGUGGGGAGCAAACAGGCUUAGAUACCCUGGUAGUCCACCCCGUAAACGUUGGGAACUAGUUGUGGGGUCCAUUCCACGGAUUCCGUGACGCAGCUAACGCAUUAAGUUCCCCGCCUGGGGAGUACGGCCGCAAGGCUAAAACUCAAAGGAAUUGACGGGGACCCGCACAAGCGGCGGAGCAUGCGGAUUAAUUCGAUGCAACGCGAAGAACCUUACCAAGGCUUGACAUAUACGAGAACGGGCCAGAAAUGGUCAACUCUUUGGACACUCGUAAACAGGUGGUGCAUGGUUGUCGUCAGCUCGUGUCGUGAGAUGUUGGGUUAAGUCCCGCAACGAGCGCAACCCUCGUUCUAUGUUGCCAGCACGUAAUGGUGGGAACUCAUGGGAUACUGCCGGGUCAACUCGAAGAAAGGUGGGGAUGACGUCAAAUCAUCAUGCCCCUUAGGUCUUGGGCUUCCGCAUGCUAAAUGGCCGG